rnacentral:rRNA from 1 species
AUUGAACGCUGGCGGCAGGCCUAACACAUGCAAGUCGAACGAGCGGCGAACGGGUGAGUAACGCGUAUCAACCUGCUCUUCAGAGGGGGAAAACAACUGGAAACGUUGGCAAAUACCGCAUACUGUCGGUUGAACCCAUAUGGGAUUAGCUAGUAGGUGAGGUAAGGGCUUACCUAGGCGACGAUCCCUAGCUGGUCUGAGAGGAUGAUCAGCCACACUGGAACUGAGACACGGCCCAGACUCCUACGGGAGGCAGCAGUGGGGAAUAUUGCACAAUGGGCGCAAGCCUGAUGCAGCCAUGCCGCGUGUGUGAAGAAGGCCCUAGGGUUGUAAAGUACUUUCAGUGAGGAGGCGUUACCGGCAGAAGAAGCACCGGCUAACUCCGUGCCAGCAGCCGCGGUAAUAC